CAGCGCGAGUCUGCGAGAGGACUGCCACCGGGGUCAGAGAGCACACAGUAGGCUACAGAAGCUCAGAGCAAAGGACGCGACUGCACUGGGACAACUUGUGUGAGGAUAGGCUGAAGGGCUUCAGUUCUAUGGCAACCAGACUGCAGUGGUCUAUGGGUUAAGGAAAGCCCUGGUGGAUCCCAGUGAAUGCAGCAGCUUGGGUUGAGCACACCCUCUGGAGCCAUAUUGACUGAUUCAGCAACUGAGGACCUGAGCCCUAGGACCAUGCCCCAGGACUACCUGACAUGAUGACUCCUUGCUGUCCCCAGUCCACCUGGCCGUGCUGCUGCUCCAGUUUCAACUGUUCUACCUUAUUAUUAUUCGACCAUGCUGGUCAUUUAUGAACAUUUGAACAUCUUGGCCAUGUUCUGUUAUAAUCUCCACCCAGCACAGCCGGAAGAGGACUGGCCACCCCACAUAUAUAUGCUCUCUCUAAUUCUCUUUCUUUCUUUCUCUCGGAGGACCUGAGCCCUAGGACCAUGCCCCAGGACUACUUGACAUGAUGACUCCUUGCUGUCCCCAGUCCACCUGGCCGUGCUGCUGCUCCAGUUUCAACUGUUCUGCCUUAUUAUUAUUCGACCAUGCUGGUCAUUUAUGAACAUUUGAACAUCUUGGCCAUGUUCUGUUAUAAUCUCUACCCGGCACAGCCAGAAGAGGACUGGCCACCCCACAUAGCCUGGUUCCUCUCUAGGUUUCUUCCUAGGUUUUGGCCUUUCUAGGGAGUUUUUCCUAACCACCGUGCAUCUACACCUGCAUUGCUUGCUGUUUGGGGUUUUAGGCUGGGUUUCUGUACAGCACUUUGAGAUAUCAGCUGAUGUACGAAGGGCUAUAUAAAUAAAUUUGAUUUGAUUUGAUUUCUACAUUGUAGAAUAAUAGUGAAGACAUCAAACUAUUAAAUAACACAUAUGGAAUCAUGUAGUAAGCCAAAAAGUGUGAAACAAUAUAUAUAUUUUAGAUGUUUCAAAGUAGCCACCCUUUGCCUUGAUGACAGCUUUGUACACUCUUGGCAUUCUCUCAACCAGCUUCAUGAGGUAGUCACCUGGAAUGCUUUUCCAACAGUCUUGAAGGAGUUCCCCCAUAUGCUGAGCACUUGUUGGCUGCUUUUCCUUCACUCUGCAGUCCAACUCAUCCCAAACCAUCUUAAUUUGGUUGAGGUCUGGUGACUGUGGAGGCCAGGUCAUCUGAUGCAGCAUUCCUUCACUCUCCUUCUUAGUCAAAUAGCCCUUACAUAGCCUGGAGGUGUGUUGGGUGAUUGUCCUGUUGAAAAACAAAUGAUAGUCCCACUAAGCACAAGCCAGAUGAAAUUGCGUUGCGCUGCAGAAUGCUGUGGUAGCCAUGCUGGUUGUGUGCCUUGAGUUCUAAAUAAAUCACUGACAGUAGAAAAGCACCCCCACACCAUCACACCUCCUCCUCCAUGCUUUGCGGUGGGAACCACACAUGCGGAGAUCAUUUAAGAACAAAUUCUUAUUUUCAAUGAUGGCCUAGGAACAGUGGGAUUUUGACCUUGUCAGCUCGGGAUCCCCGAGUUGCAACCCUCUGGUUACUAGUCCAAUGCUCAAAACACUAGGCUACCUGGUGCCCCAGGUGUCCUUUAGCAGUGGUUUCUUUGCAGUAUUUCGACCAUGAAGGUCUGAUUCACGCAGUCUCCUCUGAACAGUUGAUGUUGAGAUGUGUCUGUUACUUGAACUCUGUGAAGCAUUUAUUUGGGCUACAAUCUGAGGUGCAGGUAAUUGCCAAUUUCUAAGGCUGGUAACUCUAAUGAACUUAUCCUCUGCAGCAGAGGUAACUGGGUCUUCCUUUCCUGUGGCAGUCCUCAUGAGAGCCAGUUUCAUCAUAGUGCUUGAUGGUUUUUGCGACUGCACUUGAAGAAACUUUCAAAGUUAUUGACUGACCUUCAUGUCGUAAAGUAAUGAUGGACUGUCAUUUAUCUUUGCUUAUUUGAGCUGUUCUUGCCAUAAUAUGGACUUGGGCUUUUACCAAAUAGGACUAUCUUCUGGAUACCACCCCUACCCUACCUUGUCACAAUAUAACUGAUUGUCUCAAAUGUAUGAUUCCAUAUGUGCUAUGUCAUAGUUUUGAUGUUUUCACUACUAUUCUACAAUGUAGAAAAUAGUACAAAUAAAGAAAAACCCUUGAAUGAGUAGGUGUAUCUAAACUUUUGACUGGUACAGUAUACACAAAAGCUCUCUAGAGAGCACACAGUGUAGCUUGCAGUGGGAUCUGAGUGCUUCUGAGGCUAUAGUAUGUUGGGUCUAGUGAAAGUAGCACAGCACACACUGGUCACACACUAGUUUCCUACUAAUUUAAAUGACAUUGCAUUGAACCAACAUGGAAUAGAUGUUGAAUUGACAUCUGUGCCCAGUGGGCAGGUUCAUAAAUUGUAGAAGACAUCCAAUCAAAUAUCCCCUGCACUCUAUGAAAUCAAUUUCUCUGAGUCGCCUAGUUAAAUCCUCAUUAUGUGUUACCUCUCUGUGUCCCAACUCACACCCGGAUGCUUUAUAAACACUGAAGCAUGUAAAUAUACCGCUCCGGGACACAAUGCAUGAAUUAAUCCCAGCUCUCACUCAAGGAUUUUUGUUUUCUAAUGUACUUCCAAGAUGCAUCCCAUAUAGCUGGGGGCACUUACUGCAGGGAUAUCCAUAUUUUGUAACAAAGACGGAGGCCUGAGACUGUAAAUUAUCAUGCAGGGCUGACAACUGUUAAAACUAUUACAAUACUGCAUUGGCAGAGCGUAGAAUGAGUCCUGUAGUGAAUAGGGGGGUGUUGUUUGUUGUACAUUAGGUCUGGUGGGCCAAAAUAAAUACAUAGAGUAACUACAUUAACUGAGAAGAAUGCUGAUUGACACACAACUCCCCAAAAGGAGUUUAUAAACUUUAUCUCCACUAUAAAAAGUGUCUAGACAUGAUCUCACAUUUCUUUUAGCCUAACAUUUUGUUUUCAACAGCAGAGAUUUGUAUAAACCUUACUGUUUGUCUGACAUUUGCAACAUUGUUUCAAUAUUACAAUUCAAACUCCAGCUGUCCUACAGUAACGAACGAGUCGGGACAGGCAGGCAGGCAGCUUUUCUCAACCAGUCGAAAUCAUGAAUCAGCAAGCAUAUUUUUUUAUGGAUAUUUUCAAAGAAAUGUCAACUGAAAAAAGGUCAAACGAAAUUAAGUGCAGCUAGUUUGCAGUGUUGGCUAGCAGUUCUGAACAACAGUGUCCUGAUUAGUGAGCACAUUUUCUAUGCCAGGCGAAAUCGCGCCUCAUUCGCUCAUUGUUAUGGAUGUGUCCAAAUAAAUGUCUCUA